rnacentral:lncRNA from 1 species
AUGGUAAUAUUUGUAAACAUGUUUCAAUGAGUAUGAAAAUCCAAACUUAGAACUCCAAACCUUAAACAGAGACGAGUCAAAGAACACGCUACUCUAAUGGCUGAAGGGCUUCGACAUACUUAAUCAUAAGUAAAAACAGUAAUAGACUAACUUCCGGUCGACACACUGAAUACACAUGGUAUACUAUUGUGAGACAUAGUCCAAACAAAAUUAACCACGACUCAAAUUAACACAUAUUAAGCAACUUAUAAGCACGUAUAAGAACAUAAAUCCAAUCGAUCUCUUAGACAUAAGCAAAUUUUAACCUUCAAACAUUUAAAGCAAACUGAACACACGAAGAGAAGAUCACUCGGACUGAUUCCGAAUUAACUCAAGAACACAAAUUUUCACAUAAAAAUAGAAUAGGGAGGAAAGGGACCUGAAACGGCAAGAACUUUAAUUAAUUUGCUUGAAUGCCAAAUACAGCUAAGCAAACAUCAACCAAAUUCGAACAAGGCUAAACUGAAUUUGCUCGGCCCAAAUGGAACCGCAAUGAAUCUCGAUUUACAAGCACUAAACAGCUCGAAAAAACUCGACUCCAUGGCAACCUCUGACAAACUCCGUAUUGAACUCGAAAUUCGAAGUGGAAAGGAGUAAUAGAAUAUUAUGUACUUUUUUAUUCUUUUUUUUUUUGAAAUAGAACAAAACCUGAACAAAAACCAAACUCAAACUGUUUUUUUUUUUUUUUUUUUUUUUUUUUUUUUUUUUGGAAUUUGAACUCAACUAAAAAAAAAAACCUAAAGAACCCUAGUUUUUGUUUUCCGAAUUUCUUUCUCUAAUAUUCUGUCCGAGAGCCUCAGUCUUCCAAACCUCUCAAAUAUAUAUCACAUCUUAGAAGCUUAUUCCCUCUUCUCCAAGAAAUCUCGUGUGGGGACCUCAACAACAAAUCCGAAAAUUUCUUUUCCCAAAUAAAAAUCGGAAAAAUGGAGAUAUUUGGACAAAAAUCUCAUCCAACGAUUUCCAUUCUUCCAAAGCUUACUCAAGAGUUCGGAUUUUGUAUUUAAACAAAAAAAAGAAGAGAAAAAAAUCCGCAUAAAUCAGAUUGAAAUGAUGAGAUUUGGGCAUGAUUUGAGCGACGUGGAAGAAAGAGAUGAGAGGAGGGGGGACCAUGGGACUAGGACGAGUGAACUCACCGGGUUUGGACGAGUUCCGGUAAGUUUGGGGUAGCUUAGAGGCGUGAAGGGAGGGGCCGCCGGCUUUGGGAUAUAGAAAUUAGGUUUAGGGUUUUGAGGAAAAUGUUAUAACUAGGUUUUUAUAUGGAGGGUUGGAAAAUAUGGACCAUUGGAUCAAAGUUAAUAGAUGGCUAGAUUUGAGGGAAAAAUUGGAGCGGGUCGACGGAUUGGGCCAAGAAGGAGUGGGCUGCCCGAUUUGGACCUCCCUUAUGCCCAAAUUUCGGCCCUAAACUUGUAAUUAUUCCAUUUAAAAGAAACCCAAUAAGUAAGCAACUCAAUUUUUACAAAAAAUAAAAUUCAAUUAAUCAAAUAAAUAUUUGAUAAUAUGAAACACAUAUAUUAAUGUAUCAUACUGAAAGUGAGAGUAAAAUUCAUAGUUAAAAAAGAAAAUAUAUGACUAUAAAAUAUUAAUAACCUAAACUAAAUAGAAAUAAGGUAAAAUAUGAUACUAUAUAAAUUAUUAUACUCAAACUAAAAGUAGAAAUUAUUGUAAUAACAAAAUAUAUUACUAAAAUACUAAUGGCCUUAAGUUAAAAAUAAGAAAAUGUAUAUAAUGAAACUAUUAUAUACAUAUUUCAAUUUUAUUCAAUUUUUAUGCCUUUAAAGAUAGAAUUAAAAAUAAUAAAAGUGAAAUCCUAUAGGAAUAAGCCCAAAUAAAUAUCCCAAAAAUGCUAUGACUAUUAAAAGUAAUUCUAAUGCGUAAGUCAAAAUUACAUGUCUAUAGCUGCCCCUCUUUGAUUGGGAACAUAAGGUGUUUUCAGACAAAGAACAACAAGACAUGAUUUUUGACCCAACCCUUAUUUAAAGAGACCAAAACCUACAGAAAGAAAAUGUAGUCGAGCCUUGGUCUCGGAGCUGCCUACAUAUCCUUGGCUAUAAAGGAACCGGGCCACGUGUAGUUCGAAGUGAGAAGCGCGACGGAGUACCGAGGUGGAAAGUCGAUUCGAGUGUCGUCGAGGUUCCAGUUUGUGGUUCCUGCCAUUACAUCAAAAAUAAAAGGGAAAAAUUACAGCAAAAUUUAAAGAAAAAUCCAAGAUCCUAUCUAUCUUCUUGUCUUGAAACAUCCUUAAAUCUCUACUUGAACUUCAAUAUGCAACUGAAAAAUGGACCCUGCUCUUCAGGCAGGCUCCUGAUGCUUCUUGAAUUUGUGAGUUGAAGUAACUCUGAAAUUAAUUACCUCGUUCUCCAGGUGGGCACCUGAUUGCAAUUACUUGAAAUAUAUUCCCUCGUUCUCCAGGUGGGCGUCUGAUUGCAAAGACUUGAAAUGUAUUUUCUCGUUCUCCAGGUGGACGCCUGAUUGCAAAAACUUGGACUGUAUUCCCUCGUUCUCCAGGUGGGCACCUGAUUGCAAAGACUUGAAAUGUAUUCCCUCGUUAUCCAGGUGGGCGCCUAAUUGUAAAAACUUGGAUUGCAUUCCCUCGUUCUCCAGGUGGGCGCUUGAUUGCAAAAACUUGGAAUGUAUUCCCUCGCUGUCCAGGUGGGCGCCUGAUUGCAAUUACAUAAAAUAUAUUCCCUCGUUCUCCAGGGGGCGCCUGAUUGCAAAGACUUGAAAUGUACCUAAUUGCAAAAACUGGGAUUGUAUUCCCUCGUUCUCCAGGUGGGCGCUUGAUUGCAAAAACUUGGAAUGUAUUCCCUCGUUGUCCAGGUGGGCGCCUGAUUGCAAUUACAUAAAAUAUAUUCCAUCGUUCUCCAGGUGGGCGCCUGAUUGCAAAGACUUGAAAUGUAUUCCCUCGUUAUCCAGGUGGNNNNNNNNNNNNNNNNNNNNNNNNNNNNNNNNNNNNNNNNNNNNNNNNNNNNNNNNNNNNNNNNNNNNNNNNNNNNNNNNNNNNNNNNNNNNNNNNNNNNNNNNNNNNNNNNNNNNNNNNNNNNNNNNNNNNNNNNNNNAUUCUAUUUCUUCAUACUUGGACAGUAUUCCCUCGUUCUCCAGAUGGGCUCUUGAUUGCAAAGACAUGAAAAGUAUUCCCUCAUUAUCCAGGUGGGCGCCUGAUUGUAAAGACUUGAAAUGUAUUCCCUUGUUAUCCAGGUGGGCGACUGAUUGCAAAGACUUAAAAUGAAUUCCCUCGUUAUCCAGGUGGGCGCCUGAUUGCAAAAACUUGAAAUGUAUUCCCUCGUUAUCCAGGUGGACGCCUGAUACUGCAACAAAACAGACAAAACAAAAGAAACUUUUUCUUCCCCGGUUUGGGAUCUGGGCAUAUUUCUAAGUGUUAAUCGGACCAUAUCACCUACAGAACUAUAAGAAUUUAAAAGCUAAACCCAUUAUCCAAGAGGAUCCUGAGAAUUUUAAAAUCCUGAAUCCCAUUAUCCAGGAGGGUCCUGAAAAUUUUAAAAACUAAAUCCCAUUAUCUAGGAGGGUCCUGAGAAUUUUUAAUAACUAAAUCCCAUAAUCCAGAAGGGUCAUGAGAAUUUUAAAAAGUAAAUCCCAUUAUCCAUGCGGGUCCUGAGAAUUUUUUUUAUUUUUAAAAAACCUAAAUCCCAUUAUCUAGGAGGGUCCUGAGAAUUUUGAAUACUAAGUCCCAUUAUCCAGGAGGAUCCUGAGAAUUAUGAAAUGAAAUCCCAUUAUCCAGGAGAGUCCUGAAAACUAUAUUAAAUCUCAUUAUCUAGGAGGGUCCUGAGAAUUUUAAAAACUAAAUCCCAUUAUCCAGGAGGGUCCUGAGAACUGAGAGUGAACUUACCUGAGACACGCUCUCAUCUUGAAGGAUUCUUAACAGAAUUUCUUGCCCCUGAGCCAUGCUCUCUUCAUGGGGGUCCCUAUGGAUUAACAAAUGUUCUUGCCCCUGUUUCGGACAAAUAAAAUUUGUUAGUUUGAAAACGUGGUGGUUAGUUUGUGGCCUCAUUGUUGAGCGUCUGCUUCCACCACUACCAUACUUCAUUUUGAUUAGCUGCUUCGGGCUAGCAAGGAGUUGUUUGAUCUUUGACUGAAACUAGACCACGAAACCUCUGCAUGGCUUGAGUCCCUCACACUGCUUGUUGCAUUGUAUUUUUGUUUAGAAAGUUGUUGAAUCCUUGUAUUUCCUCAAAAUUCAAGAUUCACUUGAUUGCCUGAACCUUAAUUAUCACCAUAUUGCUCAUUCUGAAUCAUGCCAAUUUUGAUGUGCCUGGCAUGAAUCCGCUUUGUGCAAUUUAGAAGCUGGUAGUAGGCUUUGAAAUCCGUUCCUGCUUGUUUAAUAAGCACUAACUAGGAAGAAACUCAUAAAUAUAGACCUAAGGAGUAAAAUGAAAUGAUUUUUUAACAAAAGGAACAAAUGAAAAUUUUGAACACAAAUGAUUAUGUGGAGAAGAAUGAGAAAGAGAGGACUUAUCUGAGGAAAGUGGCCAGCCCCAAUGAUCAUGCCAUGCAUUUCAGACUGAUCAACCUAAUUCGUCCAACCAAUCAUAUUUUCAGUUCAUGCCAUGUCUUCAUACUUCAAAACCGGACUUUCAUUGAUCCAAUUUCUCUGUAAAGUUAUGAGCCUCAUUCGACUUGUAGUGCCCUAAAAGGGUUUUCACUGACAAGCCUCUAUCAUUUGUUCAUCUCUCAUCUCACCAUCACCUUAUGGUGCCUGAGAGGGUUUUCACCAAUAAGACUCUCUUCUACGAGGGUUUUCACCAAUAAAACUCUCUUAUUUUAAAUUUUCUCUCUUGCGCCCAUGAACAAAGUAUUACCUAUGAUGCAAAUCAUACAUCUAUCUUGCUUGACCCGGCAUCUUCAAAGAUUGAUCGGAAGGUCUUUCUUUGGACCAUAAUUUAGGCUUUUGGACGGGGUUAGAAAGAAAGGGUAGCAUGAAAGCUCAAAAUAAUAUAAGAUGAAAAGGGGUUAAAAUUACAACUUUUGGAAUUAGAUCUCUUCAAAACCAAAACUUCUGCCCCAGUUUCUUUGGGUCUGGGGAAUUUUAAUUUUUAUUGUGAUGGGACCGAACUUUAAGGCUGCCUACAUAUCCUUAAAAGGAAUCAGGUCGAACGUAGUUCAAACGACAAAGUUGCUUGUUUUCUUUUUUUUCUUAUAGUUUUUUUUUCUUUUUUGUUGUUUUUUUUCUUUUCUUUUUGUUUUUCUUGUUUUUUCAUUUUUCUUAUUUUCACUCAUUCAUCAUCAUCUUUAUUCUUUACUUCUGUUGUUGAUUCCAAAAGUGGGGUAUGAAAGAAAAUAAAUAAGGCUCAGAAAGGGUAGCAAAGGAUGAAAGUGUUUAGGUAGCUGAACAAAAUUCCUUCGUCAUUUCAACUUUGAAUAUGCCAAGUACAAAAUAAAACUGAAGGUAAGCAAGAAAAUCAUACAUAGUACCUCUUAACUGCAUCAUAAUUGAUGGCCAUAUCUGCACAUUUGCCUUCUAUGUCUGUUAAAUACAAAGCACCAUUGAACAACACUCUUGUCAACGAAUGGCUCCUAGUUCAACACAUGUGAGAAGGUGUGAUUCUGUUUCAGAUAUGGAUCACUGGAAGGCAUGGUAAUAUUUGUAAACAUGUUUCAAUGAGUAUGAAAAUCCUAACUUAGAACUUGAAACCUUAAAAAGAGACGAGGUCAAAGAACACGCUACUCUAAUGGCUGAAGGCCUUCGACAUACUUAAUCAUAAGUAAAAACAGUAAUAUACUAACUUCUGGUCGACACACUGAAUACACAUGGUAUACUACAGUGAGACAUAGUCCAAACUAAAUUAACCACGACUCAAAUUAACACAU